GCCCCUCCACUUCCCGGCCCCAGGCCCCGGCUCCGGAUCCAGCUCCGGCGCCGCGCCCCCGUCCCGGUUCCCUUCUCUUCUCCCCGUCACUUCUCCCGUCCUCUCCUCCCAUUCGGUUCUCUACGCCCUCCGGUCUCCUCCCCGUCGCUCCGCUCCCUGCUGCUCACCUCCUCCUCUUCCAUCUUCUUUCCGUCUCCUAUUCCCCUCUUCUCCCUCACUGCCCUGGUCUCCCUCUCGCCCCUUCUUUCUCCCUACCGUCAUCUCCAUUCCCCUCGCCCUUUCUCCCAUUCCCUUCUUCUCCCCUUCUCUAUCCUUUUCUCCCCACCUCUUCUCCCCUUUCUUUUCUCUUCAUCCCUUCUGCUCGAUCUCUCUCCAGCCUCUUCACAUCAGAUUCUCUCCAUCUCCGUCCCCACCUCUUCUCUGAUCCUCUUCUUCCUAACCCUUUCUCCCUGUCUCUUCUCCGCACCUUUCUUCCCAUCCCCUUUUGCCUCACUUCACCAUCCCCUUUUCUGCCCGCCUUAUCCUUUCGCUUUUCUCACCCCGCUUUUCCCUACCCCCUAUCGCUUCCCCUUCUUCCUUGGUAACCUCGGCCUUCUCCCGUUAGUCACUUUUCCUUCGUUAUCCCAUGAUUUCUAUGUCUUUCUUCUCCUUCACCCCCAGGUUCUCUUUCCCCCACUUUCUCUGUAUCCCACAUUUGAGGGUAAAGAUCAGGAGAUAUCGACCCACCAUCUAGGGAUGGUGGUCCCACUCACAGUAUAAUCCCCAGAAAAAUAAAGUGAGGAGGAAACUGGGCAGGGAGGUGGGAAGGGACUCGAGAAACCAACUUGGGAGAGAAUAUGGGGAGAGGGGAAAUCAGACAAAGAUGGAGAGCAAGCAAUCUUAAAGGAACUGGGAGAGUUCCGAUUCCUGUCCUUCUUCCUUAGGACUGAGUAGGCUGUGAGAAAAACAGGUUUUCUCCACUUGAGAUGUGUACAAAUGGCAUAAAGAAAUCAGGAACUUCUGGGGAGAAAGAGCAAAGUUUCAGUUGAAGAAGAAGGAAGUGUGAUUUUGGAAGAGGAGUGAGGGAGGGACUGAGGUCCUUGGUCGUAUCCACAGCUCUGGCUUGGGCAGUGGGGUGGACGGUGGUGAGGCUGGCUGUUCUCCACAAAAGAAGCAGAAGGAGGCUGCAGGGGGUUGGUGUGGGAAGAUGAUGAUGUGACUUGGGGCUGCUGACUUUGAAGUGCCUUUGGGGAAGGUAGGUCUGCAACUUAGAGGAGCGGUCUGAGACGGACAUAAAUAUUUGGGAGUCAUCUGCAAAUACCGUAUAAGCUUGAAUAUAGGGUGAGUUUUUUGCUUUUUUGUUUUUCCAAAAUCAUCCCUCAGGAAAGAGGGAGUAACCUUAUAUUUGAGUCCUUACAAAGUCUCUCAUAUUACAGGGUUUGCUCUCAUUUACUUUAUUUUGAACAACAAACCACUGGAUAGGGCAGUAUGGUAUGGUGACUAAGCUUGUGGACUCUGGAGCCAGACUCCCUGGCUUGGGGUCCAGACCCUCCCAUUUACAAGCUGUGUGGCAUUGGGGAAGCUACUUAACUUGUCUCUGCCUUAGUUUUCUCAUCUAUAAAGUGGGCCUAAGGAUUAAAUUAUGUAAUAUAUGUAAAGCACUAUAUACCUGGCACUCUAUAGUAAGUGCCCAAUAAAUGCUAACUAUUUUUACUGUGUGGGUAAGACCCAUUAACCUGACAUGUCCUCAACAAUGCUAUUUUGGAUGUAUUGUAGUCAAGGAAAUUUAACACAGCUUUGGUAACUAUUCCUGGUAGUAUGACCUCAUAACUGCAUGUGUUGGAUGUCUCAAAAUAUGCUUUUCAAAGAUUGCUUUAAAAAGCAAUACAGUAGUACUUGGAAGAGGUUUUUGGGAUGCCAAAAAUGUUCUAUUUCUUGACCUGAGUGGUUAUAUGGAUGUGUCGCUUUGACAGUUCAUUGAGCUGAACACUUAUGAUGACUUGUGCCCUUUUCUGUGUAGAUGUUAUAUUUCAGUAAGAAAGUUAACAGAAAUAUAAUUUUUAAAAAGCAAUACAUUGAGUGAUGUUUAGAAGUCAUGAAUAUACACAGGCAGGAUGCAUGCCAAAAACCAACUGCCCUAGUGUGAUGCAAAUGAAACUUGUGACUUAGGAUGAAGUUUCCAAGGACUCUAUUAUCUGUGAAUUCAAACUGUGCUGUGUCCUCUCCCAAGCACUUCGCUUAGGCUGAAGAGAAAGACUUCUGUUCUGGGGAAACAUGUAAGAUGGCUGAAAAAGUGAUCCUAAUGAUGAGAAAGACACUGCUUUUGAGGAUGCCUGUUAAGAUUAUGCAUAAAAUUGUUUAAUAAUGUUUAUAAAUCAUACAUUUUAUGUGACAUAUGAAUUUAAAUAUAUGUACAAUGAAGUCCAUUAACUCAUUGAAGUCCACUUUUGAUUGUGUCAUCCUCAUCCUUUAUUUUUUAUUUUUAUUUUUCAUUCUCCUUAAAGGUUUACAUUUCUAGCUUGGUUGAAAAGCUUUUUGGAUCUUCUCACUGGGAAAAAUGAAAAAUUACGGUCUGGGCAAGACCCAUUAACCUGAAAUGUCCUCAACAACCCAAUUUGGGUUGCUUUGUAUAGUAAGUGUGACAGAUGGUAAGUGAAGCUAAGGGAGGGAAGGAGGUUGCUGAGGGAGAGCACAUCCAUUAGGAAAAAGAGAAGGUCUAGGACAGAUACUGAGAAGCUCCAACACGUAAAGGCUGAGCAGAGGAGGAGCCCCCAAAGGAAGGUGAGAAGGCAUGGCCAGACAGGGAGGAGAAAGAAAGGGAGAUGAGUGUGCCAUCAAAGCCCAGGGAAUGAUCAAGGAAGAAGCCAUGAAGUGAGGAGUGGUCAUCAGGGUUGAAUGAUGCAGAAGAGACCAGUGAGGUAAGGACUGAAAAGGAUCAGUUGGAUUUGGCUGGUGACCUUGGGGACAAUGUGGUAGGUGGAGUGGUUAGAAUGAAAGCUAGUCAGCACUCAGUAGUUAAGGAGUGAGUGUCACCCAGGCUAGAGUGCAGUGGUGUCAUCAUGGCUUGCUACAGCCUCAACCUCCUGGGCUCAAGUGAUUUCUCCCACUUUAACUUCUGCGCCCCCUACUCCCUCUACCCCCACCCCACCCCACUGAUUAAAGAGACUAUGGACACAUGCCACCACCUGGCUAAUUUUUUGUACUUUUUGUGGAGACAGAGUUUUGCCAUGUUGGCCAGGCUGGUCUGAAACUCCUGAGCUCAAGCAGUCUGCCCACCUCGACCUCCCCAAAUGCUAGCAUUACGGGUGUGAGCCACUGUGCCCAGCUUUGUUUUUUUAAAAAAUUUUUUUUUUAAUUUUCCGUAGAGUGUAGGGGGUCUCACUAUGUUGCCAGGGCUGAUCUUGAACUCCUGGCUUCAAGGGAUCUUUCCACCUUGGCCUUCCACAAUACUGGGAUUACAGGCAUGAGCCACUGCACUAAGCCAGUACAUCAUUAUUAACUAAAUUCCAGACUUUGUUCUGAUUUCACCAGCUUUCCCACUAAUGUCCUUUUACUGUCCCAGGAUUCAAUCCAGGAUACCUUGCAUUUAGUCAUCAUGUUUAGUUUCCUCUGGUCUGUGACAGUUCCUCCAUCUUUCCUUUUUUUUUUUUUUUUUUUUUUUUUGUUAAUGACCUUGACAGUUUUGAAGAGUACUGGCCAGGCAAUUUGUAGAGUAUCCCUCAAUUUGGAUUUCUCUGCUGUUUUCCAUGUGAUUAAACUGGGGUGAGAGACUACUACAGAGCUGAAGUGCCUUCUCUCUAUAUUAUAUCAGGGAGUGCAUGAUAUAAAUGCAGAUUUUCAUGGGUAAUGUUAACCUUAGUCACUGCAUUAAGAUCUCUUCACUGUAAGGCUACUUCCUCUCUUACCGUGUAUCUGUUCUUUAGAAGUGAGUCACUAAGUCCCAUACUCAGGGAGGAGAGUAAGCUCCAUCUCCUAGAAGGGGUAAGGAGCUCAUGGAGAGAAUGGAGAAAGGUCCUGGAGGAGAAAGGAGGAACUGAAGAAUUAACCAUCACAACAAGGAGGGAUUGGUCUUUGCCAGGAAGAGAAGUACCUCCUCCUUCAAGACUGAAAAGGAAGAUGAGUGGGGUGCAGAUAAGUGCAUGGGUGUAAGUAUGUGGUAGUGAGGCAGGAAGGUGGACAGGGCAGGAAUUUGAGGUCAUCAUACCUGAUGAUCUCAUUCUCUCUAGAGAGGAGUUGGGAUUUUGUGAAAAAUGGGCACGAGGUAGCCAAUAAAGUUAGAAAUCUUGAGGGAAGUUUUAAAGGAGUGGAGACGCUGUUAAGGGGAGUGAUAGCUGGUGGCCUUAUAGGCCUAAAGGAUCAAGGAGUUGAGGAUACUGGCAAGAGAACAAAGGAUAUAGACACACCUCCACCUAAGUCCUUGAUGAAAAAGAGGAAAAGUCAUUUCAUGACAACACUGAGGAGGAUAGAGGCUUGUGUAAGACAGCAUAAUCUAAAAGGCUGAGAGGGAGGUUGGAAAAGUAGUUAUCUCUAUUUAGGCCUUGGGAAGCCUGGAGAAUUGAGACUUCUUCCCUCUUCCUUCCAAGAUAUGUGGAAGUAUGUACAGAAGGGGAGUACUUAAGCAAAGCCAGGUCUCUUGCACAGGAAGUGGAGGCUCAGAGGUAUAGGAAGGGGCUGAGAUUUCAGGAGUUUGUCACCAUGAAAUGAAGGUUUCAGAACAGGCAAGAUUGAGGUGUGGGUCCAUGAUGGGAAGGGCUAAAAGGCAGGGAAGCAGUGGGAGGGGGCCAGUCAACUAGGGGCAGGGAGGGGCACAUCAGUGUGGUGAUGAACAAAUGAGAAGGGAGAGAUGACCCAAAAGGCCUACCUUGUGAAUAACGAUCUGAGUGACAGGAUGGGAGACAGCUUUUAGUGGUUCUGUUAGUCCUCUGUUCUUUCCUAGUGAGCUGGAGGAACUGGGUAGCAUUAGUAAUUGCUUUCAGACUGCUGCAAGCCUUAGUUCAAAAUACUUGUAAGUCACAAGUCAUUAGCACUCCUUGGUACAACCCAGCCCUGGAAGAAGUGAGCAGGAGUAUUAAAAAAAAAAAAAAUGGCCAGAGUCCAGCACUGUUUGAAUUGGGAUCUUUCAAGAGUGAGGAUGUUUUCCAGGCUCUGAAGGACUUCAACUCCCUGUAGAGACUCUAGGAAAGAAAAGGGAAACUCCCCAUGCUCUCCCACAGAACAAGAGCCAGAGAAAGUAGAAGGAAAUGGAAUCUAGAACACAGGUGGUGGGAUUAAAUAUGGAGAAGAGAAAGGCCUCCUAUCCACUGGGAUGGAAAGUCAGGAAAGCCAGUCCUGUGGAUUUCAAUUUACAGAGUGAUCAAUUUGUUGGAACUUACCAGUUUUGCCUGUUUACCAAAAUUUUGUUUCUUUUAAUUAUGUGUAAAGUUUACAACAAUUUUCAUGGUUGGACUGAUUUUAACUACUUUUAAUGAUUUCUGUGAAGUAUCAGUUGACAAUUUUUUGAGUUUAGUUUAGCUUAGUUGUACUUCUAAUUUAUUUGCAGCUGUUUCACUGAAAUCAUUUUGCCAUGGCUGGCCAAAGUUCAGUGUAUUCUAAGUUUUUCCUUAUUUUGGAGCUGUGACUUUGGGGAAUGGGAAUUUCUUGUGCAUUUUACUCUGCAAGAGUUGUACAAUGGCUGAAAUGUAAAAAAAAUCAUAUACAAUCCGGGAGGGGGUAAUUAUCCCUUCCAAAUAUUUUUAAUCCAAUAGUUUUUGUUUUUCUUUAAUAUUUUUUGUAUAUUUAUAGUUUUAAUAGAUAUGUAGAUGUAUGAAAUAUAGCCAUACUGUAUUUCCAUACUUAUUGGUUGGUGAAUAGUAUAAUAGUGACUACAUUAAGUGAUAAAAUUAUAUUAUAUUAUAAACUAGUUAGUCUAAGACAGUUUUUGUAAGAUAUGAUGGCUAUUGAUAAAUGGAUCUCCUGCUAUAGUGACAUCUGAGCAACAUUUGGACAAUUUCUGCCAGUUCCAUUCAUAUCACAAUAGGAAUACUGUUUGAAUUGGAAUGGUACAUUAGGAGCAGCCCUGCUUCUCCUUGUUGUUGAUUAUGUAGUUGUUACUACUUCUAAGUAGUCAGGUUUUUCCCUUUGGCUUUAUUAUUUUUUAAAGUAAUAGCUUUAUUGAGAUAUACUAUAUAUACUAUAAAGUGUAUCCUUUUAAAGUGUACAAUUCACAGUAAUUUUUAGUAUAUUCAUGGAGUUGUGCAUUAUCACCACUAUCACAUUUCAGAAUAUUUUCAUCACCCAAAAAGAAACCCACACCCAUUAGCAGUUACUCCAUAUCCUCUACCCCUCAGCUCCUGGCAACCAAUAAUCUAUUUUCUGACUCUAUGAAUUUGCCCAUUCUGAACAUUUUACAUAAAUUGAAUCAUACAACAUGUGGCCUUUUGCAUCUGGCUUCUUUCACUCGGCAUGUUUUCCGUAUUCAUCCAUGUUGUUGCAUGUAUCAGUACUUCAUUUCUUGGCUGAAGAUAUUCCCUUGUAUGCAUAUAUCACAUUUUGUUUUUCUUUUCAUCAGUUGAUAGACAUUUAUGUUGUUUCCACUUUGGGGCUAUUAUAAGUAAUGCUGCUAUGAACACUUGUAUAUACAUUUUUGUGUGGGCACAUCUUUUCUCUUCUUGGGUAAAUACCUAGGAGUGGAAUUGUUGGUAUGGUAUAUAUUACAGUUCUAUGUUUAACAUUUUAAGGAAAUAUUUGAGAAAAUUUGCCAAACUAUUGCUAAAGCAGCUGCACUAUUUUACACUUCCACCGCCAGUAAAUGAAGGUUCAUUUACUGGUCAAACAACAAGUGUCAAACACUUGUUGACAAGGAUAUGGAGAAACUGGAACCCUCAUUUACUGUUCAUCAUUCUGCUGUUAUCCAGCUGGAUAUAAAGUGAUAUAUUGUUAUGGUUUUGAUUCCCAUUUCUCUAAUAACUAAUGAUGUCGAGCAUCUUUUUUUGUUGUUGUUGAAAUAGAAUCUCACUCUGUCACUCAGGCUGGAGUACAGUGGUGCAAUCUCGGCUCACUGCAACCUCUGCCUCUCAGGUUCAAGCAGCCCUCCCACCUCAGCCUCCUGAGUAGCUUGGAUUACAAGCAUGCAUCACUAUGCCCAGCCAAAUUUUUUUGUGUUUAGAGACAGGGUUACACUAUGUUGGCCAGGCUGGUCUCAAAUUCCUGACCUCAAGUUAUCCACCCAGCUUGGGCUCCCAACGUGCUGGGAUUACAGAUGUGAGCCACCAUGCCCAGCGGAGCAUAUUUUUACAUGCUUAUUGAUCAUAUAUAUAUCUUCUUCUGUGGUUUCUUUCAAGAUUUUCUCUGUCUUUGUAGUUUCAAUAUUAUAUGCCCGGGCAUAGAAUUUUGUUUUCAGUGUUUAUCAUGCUUGGUGUUCUCUGGGCUUCCUGGAUCUUUGGCUUGCUGUCUGUCAUUAAUUUUAGAAAACUCUCAACCACUAUUACCUCAAAUAUUUAUUUUCUUGCUUGCUUGCUUUCUCUUUUUUCUUUUCUCCUUCCUUCCUUCCCUUCCCUUCUUCCUCUCCUACCCUCUCCUGUCCUCUCCUCUCCUCUCCUCUCCUCUCCUCUCCUCUCCUCUUUUCUCCCCUCCCCUCCCCUCCUCUCUCUCUUCUUUCUUUCUCUCUCUCUUUUUCUCUUUUUUCUCUUUCUUUCUUCUCUGGUAUUCCCAUUACAUGUAUGUUAUGCCUUUUGUUAUUGUCCCACAGUUCUUAGAUAUUCGGAUUCACUUUUUUUCAUUCGUUUUUUUCUCUUUGCUUUUCAGUUUGGAAAGUUUCUAUUGAUAUAUCUUUGAGCUCACUGAUUUUUCCCUAAGCCAUGUCCAGACUAGUGAUGAGUCCAUCAAAGACAUUACUUAUUUCUAUUAUACAGUUUUAAAUUUCUAACAUUUCCUUUUGAUCGUCUCUUAGAGUUUUCUUUGCUCUGCUUACAUUAUCCAUCUUGUAUGUUGUUCAGUUUUCCCAUUAGAGGCCUUAACAUAUAAUCAUAUUUAUUUUACAUUUCCAGUCUGAUAAUUCCAAAAUCUAUGCCAUAUGAGUCUGGUUCUGAUGCUUGCUUUGUAUUUUCAGAUUGUUUUUUGUUUGUUUGUUUGUUUGCCUUUUAGCCUGUCUUGUAAUUUUUUUGUUAUUGUUGAAACUGGGUAUGAUGUAUCAGGUAAAAAGAACUGAGGCAGAUAGGCCUUUAAUGUGAGGUUUUAUGUUUAUCUGGCUAGGAGCCAGGCUGUGUUUACCACUUGCUGUAGCCAUGGUGUCAGAAGCUAAACCCUAGUGUCCUUAUUUUUGUCUUUCCUUUUUCCUUUGGGUUUUCCUAGAGACUCCUUCUUAAAUAGGGUCUGAGACUUGCAGUUCCUUUAGCUGUAACCCUUGUUAUUAUUCAGGAGUCUACUGAUGCCAUGAGAAGCUUGGGGUUGAGAAGGGAAGCAUUAUACAGUCUUAUAACUACGUCUCAGUCUUUUAAUGAGCCAAUGUCCUUGGGCUAUGACCUUGACAAGUGCUUCUCAGCUUUCUCACUCCACUGUAGAGAGACAGGAAGGCUGGAGGGCACUUAGGUUGAGUAUUUCCCUUCCUCCAUGUUGGUUAGGCUUUGGUAAAACUUAAAUUGGUUAGGCUGUGGUAAAAUAGUUUUCUUUGAGGGUAGUCCUAGUUAAGGAGAACAGAGAGCUCUGGGUAUAUUUCAGAUUUGUUACUUUUUCUGUCCCCCUGCUGGACGCAUGAGGAAAUAUUCUCCAGUCUCCAGUGAGAAACUCAUGGGAUUUCGAGUUCUUGUUAAACCAAAACUGUCUGUAUAUCUUCUUUGGAAAAAAAAAAAAAUCUCUAUUUAAAUCCUUUGCCCAUUAAUUUUUUUUCUUGUUGAGUUGUUAUAAGGAUUUUUUUUUUAAUGAGAUGGAGUCUCACUCUGUUGCCAAGGUUGGAGUGCAGUGGUGCAAUUUUAGCUCACUGCAACCUCCACCUUCUGGGUUCAAGGGAUUCUCUUGCCUCAGACUCCCAAGUAGCUGGGAUUACAGGCACUUACCACCAUGCCCGCCUAAUUUUUUUGUAUUUUUAGUAGAGACAGGGUUUCACUAUGUUGGUCAGAAUGGUUUUGAACUCCUGAUCUCAAGGGAUCCACCUGUCUCAGUCUCCAAAAGUGCUAGGAUUACAGGUGUGAGCCAGUGCACCCAGAUGUAAGGAUUCUUUAGAUACAAGAAUUCUAUACCUAGAUACAAGUUCCUUAUCAGAUAUGUGAUUUGCAUAUAUUUUCUCCCAUUUUGUGACUUUUCAUUUCCUUGAUAGUGUGCUUUGAAGCAUAAACAUUUUUAAUUUUAAUGAAGUUAAAUUUAUCUGAUUUUUCUUUUGUUGCUUGUGAUUUGGGUGUCAUAUCUAAGAAACUGUUGUCGAAGGUCAAGAAGAUUUACUGCUGUGUUUUCUUCUAAGAGUUUUAAUAGCUUCAAUUCCUACAUUUAGGUCAAUGAUCCAUUUUAGUUAGUUUUUGUAUAUGUUGUAAGGUAGCAGUCCAAUUUUUAUUCUUUUGCAUGUGGAUAUCUAGUUGUCCCAGCAGCAUUUGUUGAAAAGACUUCUCUUUUAUUUAAUUUUCUUAUUUUUGUCAGAAAUGAAUUGAACAUAAAUGUAAUGAUUUACUUCUGGACUCUCAAUUCUAUUCCACUGAUCUAUAUGUCUAUAGAUGCCAAUACCACAGAGUCUUGAUUAUUAUGUUGUAGUAAGUUUUAAAAUCUGGAAGUGUGAAUCCUCCAACUUUGUUCUUUUUCAAGAUUAUUUUGGCUUUUCUGAGUCUCUUGAAUUUCCAUAUGAAUUUAAGGAUUGGUUUAGCAAUUUCUACAAAAAGAUAGCUGUGAUUUUGAUAGGCAUUUUGUUGGAUGUAUAGAUUAGUUAGACAUCAUAAUAAUGUGAUAUUUUCUAAUUCCUGAACAUGUAAUGUCUAUUUAUUUAGUAUUUAAACAUUUCUCUCAACAAUGUUUUGUACUUUUCACUGUAUAAGACUUGUCCUUCUUUUGUUGAGUUUAUUCCUAAGCAUUUAAUUCUAUUUGAUGCUAUUGUAAAUAGAAUUAAUUUCCUUUUUGAGUUGUUUUUUGUUACAAUGCAGAAAUAUAAUUGAUUUGUGCAUACAAUUGAUUUUUGCAUUCCCAUAUUAUAUCCUAUAGCUUUGCUGAACAUAUUUAUUAGUUUUUAUAGGGUUCUUUUGUGUGUGUGUGUGUGUGUGUGUGUGUGUGAAUUCCUUGGGAUUUUGUUAUAUAUAAGACCUUGUCACCUACCAGUAGAUAGUUUUACUUCUUCCUUUACAAUAUGAAAAUAUUUUAUUUAUUUUUUCUUGUCCAGUUGCUCUUGUGGAACCUUUAGUACAAUGUUGAAGCCAGAAUGGACCUCCUUGUGUUGUUCUUGAUUUUAGAGGGAAAUAAUCCAAUCUUUUAAUAUUAAGUCUAAUGUUAGGUACAGGUUUUCAUACAUGCCUUUUAUCAGGUUGAGAAAAUUCUUUUUUCCCGAGUUUACUGAGUGUUUUAUGAUGAAAAGGUGUCCAAGAUUGUCAAAUGUUUUUUCUGUGUAUGCUGAGAUGAUUAUGUGUUUUCAUUUCUUAUUCUCUUUAUAUGCUAUGAUGUAUUACAUUAAUUGAUUUUAGGAUGGAAAACCAAUUUUUGGGAUAACCUCCACUUGACAUGAUGGUAACUCUUUUUAUAUGAUGUUAGAUUCAGUUGACUGGUAUUUUGUUGAGGAAUUUUUCAUAUUCACAUGAGAUAUUGAUCUGUAUUUUUGUUUUCUUGUUACAUCUUUGUCUGGUUUUAGUAUGAGGGUAAUUAACUUGCCCAUAGAGUGAGUUGAAAAGUGCUCAUUUUAAUGUUUUAAAUUCAGAGACUUCUAUCAUCUUGAUCAAAUGAGCAUUAUCUAUUUGUUUUAGGCAUUUGAAUCCUAAGUGUCUGAAAUGAGUAUCACACAGAAAAACCAUAGACAUUCAGUGGAGUUUGACUGAAAUCCACUGUGCAAUGAGUCUAUUGAAGAGACUAGGAAAACUGAAACUAAGUCAAAUUGAAAUCAAUUGCAAACCUUAAAGAACAGAAUCCAUAAUACUAUUAAAUUUUUCCAUGCAACACAGUUGUCAUAAACUUCAUAAAUUGCUGAUGUAAACAAAUUUUUGAAUUGAUAAUUUCACCAAAUUAGAUUUUGGUGUCCAAAAGCAAAUUUUUCUAAGUUGAUAAAUUUGGAAAAUUUGGUCAGUUGGACUCUGGGUAGCUUGGUCAUUGGGUGAAUUGUCUUUCAAAUAAGUGCCUAGUUUGUGGGUACAGAUAAAGAUCACAGAAGACAGGGAAUUGAGAGAACUUUGCCUACAGACUCCUUUCCCCCCCCCCAAAAUAGACAAUGAAGUUAAGUGCUGAGAGGUGAAAGUGAAGUAGAGGGUUUAAGGAAAAUGGAGAAAGGCCGGGCGGGGUGCUCACACCUGUAAUCCCAGCACUUUGGGAGGUCGAGGCAGGGGCAUCAUCUGAGGCCAGAAGUUCGAGACCAGCUUGGCCAACAUGGCAAAACCCUGUCAAUACAAAAAAAAGGAAAAAUUAGCCAGGUGUGCUGGUGGACACCUGUAAAUCCCAGCUACUCAGGAGGCUGAGGUAGGAGAAUUGCUUGAAUCUGGGAGGUGGAGAUUGCAGUGAGCUGAGAUUGUGCCACUGCACUCCAGCCUGGGCGACAGAGUGAGAUUUUGUCUCGAAAAAAAAAAAAGUAGAGAAAGUUUGCAGGAGUCAAUGAGGUGAUGGAAUUGGGCAACCCAAGCUUGCUGAGUUGUGUUCAGGACCCAGCUCUGUUGGUGCCAAUUCCAUUGGUUGUUGAUGCUUCUUGUUCCUAGGAGCGCUCAGUGAUGAGGGCACAGGAGUAGAGAAAUCUGGUGAUUAGUAGGUAGGUGGGAGAAAAAGACAAGGGGUUCAACAGGGGAUGGCAUGAGAAUGGUGGUGUUGGCUCAUGACAUCCAGGCUGGGAUGAGAAAGAAGAAAGGCUUGGUACACAAAAAGAUAAAAGAAAGAGUCCAAAGGACUGGAGUUUCAAGAGGCAUGAGGUUUAAUGUCUGUGGGUAAGGGGAUGAGGGAGCCAGAAACAAGAAGGGUUUACAGAGUGAGAUUCUGGAGGAUAAAAUUUCAGGGGUAAAGCAGAUCUUGUCAUGAAAGGGCGGCCUGGUAAACAGAGUGGGCUGGUUGGAUGGGUUAUUGGAGGUGAAGACAAUGUACAACAGUGGGGCCAGAGACUUGGUUGGAGCAAUUAGUGGGGCAAGCACAUGGAUGGAAUGAUAGCAGGUCUUAGGAUGGUGAGCAAGACUCUGGGACUAAGACUUCACUGAAUCUGUAAUUAGGAGCUGUCUUCUCCCAACCCCAAACUCCAUUAGCCCAGCAUUAAUGAACCAUCCUGUCAUGAAAAAGGUGAGACGGGGAAGGGAAUCUUGUUCUCGAGUGUUUGAAAAACUUCUCUGGAGAGGUCUUUACCUUCCUAUAUUUGCUUCUAUCUCUGCCAGCUCUGUAUUGACUGCUCAGUCAGAUUUUGAAUUCCUGAUAUUCUCUCAAUCUGCUCCAGCCCAUCCUGUUAGGUCUCUGAUUGAUUUUAAUGAUUUUUUUGACUAGCUGUGGCAUGCUUUCUUCUGAAAGGUAGACAUGCUUAAACUGCAAGCUUGCCAACUGACUUCCUGCCAACUGGGCUAACAGAUGCCCUAGAAUCCUUAUCCCUUAGCAGCUAAGACCAAGACCAUUAAGAGGAAGUAGUAUAAUCAAUGUCCUGAGUCCCAAAAGGUAAGGGGCUUUGCACAAAAAUGGAGGAGCUAUGGAAGCCAACAAUAAGGAAUGAGAAGAAAGCUCUUUUUCUUCUUGCUCUCAACCGGAGAUUUUGAAUUUUUCCCUCCAUUUACAAAUACCCUUUAAGUGUCUAUCUGUACAACUAAAUGAUCUUGCAAAAGAAAAUCCCCAAAAUUGACCUUUUAAAUGUGCCUCCCUUUCAAGUUGCUGAUGUAUCUCUGCCUCGUCUUCCCUUUUCAUGGUCACCAAACUUCUUGAGCUGUCUUUAUGGUUUCUGCUUUUGUCCCUCUCAAGAGACAACUCUAUCAGAGGUCAACAGUAAAUGUUCUAAUUUUGAAGUCCAAUGGCCAAAGAUAUUCAUAAAACCACUACUCUGGAGCCUGGCCAACGUUAGGUUCUGAGAAUACAAAAUUAGCUAUUGUCUGCCUCCCAAGAACUCACAAUCUGCUGAGGGAGAUAGACUCAAAUUGAUAUUUUCAACACUCUUCUCCUGGAUUUUGAGACACUAGUGUUGUAGUUGUAGUCUCCUUUUCGGCCUCCUAAGAGGGCUCCUCUCUUUCUCUUUCUGUAUCUCUCUCUCUCCCUCUGGCCUUUGUAUAUUGGCUCUAUGCUAGGACUCUUUUUUCUCUUAUACCAUAUUUCCUGUCUGAGAAAUCUCAUCUAAACCAAUUGCCUCAUUUCCCAUGUAUGUGUGUAUGACUCUCGAGUUUAAAUUGCUAGCUUACGUCUAUCCUCUCAGCUCCAGAACAACUGUUAACAAGACAGUUUCUUAACAUAAGUAUAUUUACAACCAGGUUCAUCACUGUAAUCUCUGAUCCACUUCCCCUCUUACUUAUCCUCAUUCUCUGUGAAUAUGUGAAUAGAAUUUCUCUACCCAACUACCCAGACAGAAACCUGGUGUUAUCCUCAACUCUUAAUUUCUCCUCCACCUCAUGUAAUCACAUACAAUGUGUCUAGUCUGUACUACAUUUUCUAUAGCUGUUUGGUCUGUUAGCUUCUCUAGGUCUUCCCUGCUUUUUCCUUAGAAAAAGGUUUCCAAUCUUCCUUAGCUUCCUUAACUAGCUUCCUAUUUGGUUUAUGAGCUUCUAGUCUUGUCUCUCUGACCCAUCUUACAGUCUGAUGCAAGAAUGAUCUUUCUGAAAUGUAAAUCAUAUCCUUCUUUUUUCAAUUUAAAAAUACUAAUGGCAUCCCUUAGUUUUCAGGAUAAAAUCCAAACACUUUAUCAAGGGUAAAUCAGGUUACAGGGCCCUUUGUAACCUGGUCUUGCCUGGCUUUCCUUCUUCACCUCCUUCACUUUUUCCUCAAAUCCUAAAUCCCUGCUAUACCAAAUUACUUGGAAUUUUUCAACCACUUUAUACCAUUUCAUAAUUUAAAGCAUUAAUACCUGCAGAUCUUGCUGCAUGGAAUGCCCUCCAAACUGGCUUCUUUCCCUGAAGCUUGAUGAAUUCCUAGUCAUUCUUCAAGAUUCAGCCCUAGCAUUGUUUCUUCUGAGAAGUUCUGCAUGGACCACCUCCUUUCUUGGUACUCCAGUAGGCCUCAGUUGCAACCAUGCUCAUAGUACCUGUUUUACUAUGCUGUACUUACUUUUGAUCUGUCUCUCUAACAAAUCUUUUGGGCCUUUGAGGGGACAUCCCUAUAUUUCAAACAGUGCUUUGGAGGGAGAAAAAAUAUGCUUGCUAAGUUAACUGAUUAAUUAUUGAAUGCCUCCUAUGACAAAGAAGACACUGUGCUAGGCACUGUGAUGCAUUUUUGUAGGUUUCCUUUCCUCUCUUAAAAACUUCUCAAUCUCCUUCAAAAGUUCUCUAUCCUGUCUGUUCCCUAAUGUCUGACCUCAGCCUUCUCUUGCUCUACAUAUAUACUCUGACUCACUCUAUCCAUUUAUUUAGCUUUAAUUGCUGACAACUCCCAAAUCUGUUCUUCCAGCAAAAACUUUUUUUUCAAGCUUCAGAUGCUCCCGGGCAUCUCAAAUGCAGUGCAUAUGAAACUGAACUAUUUUCUUUCUUUUUUUUUUAUUCCUUCUGAGAUAAAAGGAGAAGAUAAUUGUAGGAAAGGUUCUGAAAUCAUUUUAAGGAAAAGUAGUUAGAAAUUAAGCCAGGACAAUGUCAUAAAGUCUUUGGUGACAUCCCUAGGUACAGCUAUUGUGUUUUCAUCUCCUUUUGUGUUUUCAAGUGAAUAGCAGUAAAAUUCCUUUAAUGCUGUGCUUCCCAUACUGGACUAUACAGUAGUGUACCAAGGUAUAUAUGAAGCCACAGUGUAAACAAGGCUUGUCUUCCCAAUACAUCUGAUAGAAAACUGUGGGUGGGUGUGUGUUUGUGUAAUGUACAAGAUUUAACUUGUGAGAAUUAAAAACAUUAUUUUUCUAUUAAACAGACAUGUUGUGGAACAGAAUGCAAAAUGUCAGAAAAGUUAAAGUUCCUUUCCUGAAAAUAUAAGCAUAUAAACCAUUUCUAUUAUUAAGAUAUCUCAGAUUUAACUACCAAAUUUAAGGCUGGGCUUGGUGGCUCAUGCCUAUAAUCCCAGCACUUGGAGAGGCCAAGGCAGGUGGAUCACCUGAGAUCAGGAGUUCGAGACCAGCCUGGCCAACAUGGUGAAACCCCAUCUCUACUAAAAAAUACAAAAAUUAGCCAGGCCUCAUGGCAGGUACCUGUAACUCCAGCUACACGGGAGGCUGAGGCAGGAGAAUCGCUUGAACCUGGGAAGCAGUGGUUGCAGUGAGCUGUGCCAUUGCACUCCAACCUGGGCAACAAGAGUGAAACUCCAUCUCAAACAAACAAACAAACAAAAACUGAAACAUCAGUAACUACCAAAUUUAUAUCCCAGAACUAGAGGAGAGCUACACUAUGCCCAUGUAUUUAAGAGCACAGAGAGGAAAGCCUUAAGGGUACAAACCUUACCUAGGCAUGAACCACAGGGAAUCAGCUUUGCAGGAAGUUCUUUUUUAGAUGAAGAAGGAGGAAACAGGAGAAGGGAGGAAUCAACGAGUCCAAAAGACAGAGCUAAGCAGAAGAACUCAGUACAACCCAUUGAUUCAUUCAACAGACAUUUAUAGAUGCCUAUUUUGUCUCAUGUUCUUUACAAAGUCGUAGGAAAAGGGAAUUAGAUGUGUUUGUGCCCUUAAGUAGUUCACUAUUUAGUAAUGAAUGCUGAACAAUAUAAUUAUACUGUUGUUGUAAUAAAGAAUAUAUAAUGUGAAACUGGCCACUGGAAAGGGAAAUAAAGAAAACACCCUGUUUAUAAUGGCAUCAAAAAGAAUAAAAAUUUGAGAAUAAAUUAAACCAAGGAGGUAAAAUAUCUAUACACACACACAAAAGAUCUAUAUACUGAAAACUAUGAGAUGCCAAUGAAAGAAGUUGAAAAAGAGCAAAUAACUGGAAAUACAUCCCAUGUUUACAUAUCGGAAGAAUUAAUAAUAUUAAAAUGUCCAUGUUACUCAACGUGAUCUACACAUUCAAUGUAUUUCCCUAUGAAAAUUCCAAUGGCAUUUUUCACGGAAGUAGAAAAAAUACUAAAAUUAGUAUAGAACUGCAAAAGACCCCAAAUAGACUAAAUAAUGUUGAUAAAAAACAAAGCUGGCAGAAAAAUGAAACACCGCAUAUUCUCACUCAUAGGUGGGUGAUGAAAAAUGAGAACACAUGGACACAGAAAGGGGAGUACUAAACACUGGGGUCUAUUGGGGGGAAAAGGGGAGGGCCAGUGGGAGGGGGAGGUGGGGAGGGAUAGCCUGGGGAGAAAUGCCAAAUGUGGGUGAAGGGGAGAAGAAAAGCAAAGCACACUGCCAUGUGUGUACCUACGCAACUGUCUUGCAUGCUCUGCUCAUGUACCCCAAAACCUAUAAUCCAAUAAAAAAUUAAAAAAAAAAAAAAAACAAAGCUGGAGGCAUCUUUGCUGAUUUCAAACUACAUCACAAAGGUACAGUAAUCAAAACAUUAUGUAUCAUACUGUUUUGCAUGUAUAGCCUAAAAAGAGACACACAGUCCAAUGAAACAGGAUAGAGAACUCAGAAAUAAACUCACGCAUAUAUGGUCAUAUGGUCAAAUGAAUUUUUUUUUAAUAGGGUUUCACCGUGUUGCCCAUAUUGGAGUGCAGAGGUGCAGUCUUGGCUCAUUGCAGCCCUGACUUCUUGGGCUCAAGUGAUCUUCCCAUCUCAGCCUCCUGAGUGAGGAGCUGGGACUACAGGCACACUCCACCUCAUCCAGCUAAAUUAAAAAAAAAUUUAUAGACAUGAAGUCUCCAGAUGUUGCGCAGGUUGGUUUCAAACUCUUGAGCUCAAGUGAUCCUCCUGCUCCUGCUUCUCGAAGUGCUGGGAUUACAGGUGUGAGCCACCAUGCUCAGCUGGUCAACUAAUCUUUGAUGAGGCACCAAGAAUACACAAUGGGGAACAAAAAUCCCUUCAAUAAAUAGUGUUGGGAAAACUGGAUAGACAUAUGCAAAAUAACAAAAUUGGACCCCUGUCUUAUGUAAAAAUGAAUUUGGAGUGGGUUCAAGACUUAAAUCUAAGAUGUGAAACUGCAAAACUCUUAGGAGAAAACAUAGGCGGAAAAGCUCCCUGACAUUGGCCUUAGCAAUGAUUUUUCAGAUAUGACACAAAAAGCAUAGGCAAACAAAAUAAAAAUAAACAAGCUGGAUCACAUCAAACUAACAGGCUCUGUACAUCAAAGGAAACAAUAAACAAAAUGAAAAGGCAACCUACAGAAUGGGAGAAAAUAUUUGCAAACCAUAUCUGAUAAGGGGUUAUAUAUAUAUCCAAAAAAUAUAAGGAACUCACACAACUCAAUAGCAAGAAAACACAAAAAAUCUGAUUUGAAAAUGGGCAAAGGAUCUGAACAGACAUUUUUCUAAAGAAGCAGUACAUGAAAAAGUGUUCAACACCACUAAUCAUCAGAGAAAUGUAAAUCAAAACCACAAUGAGAUAUCCCACACUUGUUAACAUGACUGUUAUAAAAAAGACAGGAGGUGGCACGUGUUGGCGAGGAUGUGGAGAAAGGGGAACACUUGUAUACUCUUGGUGGGAAUGUAAAUUGGUACAGCUACUAUGGGAAACAGUAUGAAGAUUCUUCAAAAAAUUAAAAAUCAAACUACCCUAUGAUUCAGCAAUCCCACUUCUGGGUAUAUACCCAAAAGAAAUGAAAUCAGGAUCCUGAAGAGAGAUUUCUGCAUUCCCAUGUUCACUGCAGCCUUAUUCACAAUAGUCAAGAUAUAGAAACAAUCUAAGUGUCUGUCGACACAUACAUAAAUAGAAUGUGGUAUAUUUAUACACAAUGGAAUUUUAUUCAGCCAUAAAAAGGAAGUCCUGCCAUUUAUGACAACAUGGGUGACUUACUCACUUAGACAUUAUGCUAAGUGAAUAAGUUAGACACAGAAAGAGAAAUACUGUAUGAUCUCAUUUAUAUUUGAAAUUUAAAAGAAUUGAACUCAUAGAAACAGAGUAGAACAGUUAUUGCCAGGGGCUGAGGUAUGAGGGAAAUAGAGAUGUUGAUCAAAAGGUCCAUGCUUUCAGUUAUAAGAUGAACAAGUUCUGGGGAUCAAAUGUUCAGCGCAGGUGGUGAGGGAUGUGUUAAUUAAAAAAAGAAAAGAAAUUGGAUCAUUGGAAUAGUGCUGAGCUUUGCUGCAGGGAAUUCUGUCAACACUUUACAAAAAAGGCAACCUUUCAGCGUUUGGCUAGUCUUGUAAGAUGUAUAGGUGUUUUCUGCCUGUAGUUUGGUUAGAAAUAUUCCAGAAAGUUGGAAUAUAAAAUGUGUGGGAAAUGAAUUAGAAAUAUGCUCACAUUCUUGACAAUCAUUAUUAGCAUUUAAGUCCUGGAAGAGGAAGGAGACCAUUUCUUUUGCUUAGCAUACUCGGUAGCGUAGCUUAACCCUGUCUCUGCAUAUGGUACCAUGUUUAUUGUUUUGUAAAGCUCAGCCAGAGAGUUUAAUAUGGUGUGGAUUUAGCUUACUCCUCCUUAUUUAAUGAACAUAAAUUGAGCAUCUAUUUUGUAUCAGGCCUUAUGGUAGAGUUAUCAAGAAUGAGUCCCACUUUCUGGAUUCAGCAGUUUGGCUGAAUGAAGGGAUCAGUUAGGUAGACAGGCAACAGUAGUAUAUAGGAUUGGCAGGUACAUGCCCACAGGAUUAUAAAUAACAGUACACAGGAGAGGCCUGAGCCCAUUUCGAGGGUGAUGCAGAGUUUGGGGCCACUGAAGUGACUUCUGAGCAAAUAUCUGAAUGACAAGUAGGAGUGGACUUGAAAGAGGGCAAGCAUUAUAGAGGGAACAUCAUACACCAAGUAGUGAUAUAGUCAGAGAAUAACAAGCAGUUUCUCAUGAAGGGUGGCUGCAAAUAAUGGUAGGAGAGGAGGCUGAGAAGUAGCUGGGACCAGGUCAUAGGUGACCUUUGUGUCAUUAAAUGUCUGGAUUUUAUCCAGUGAAGGCAAUGGUUAGUCAUUGGAAUACUGACUAUGAAAGGUAUUUUUCAAAGAGUAGAUUGUUAGUGGGUUGUAAAAUCAAUUUAGUGAAUUGGGGCCAGCAUAUAAAAGGUGAACAAGUAGAAAAUACGAGUGUAGAUCAUAUUUGUAAAAGCAAAUAACAUAUAUUUUUUUUGAGACAGAGUCUCACUCCGUCACCAGGCGCCAGGCUGGAGUGCAGUGGUGCGACCUCAGCUCACUGCAACCUCCACCUCCUGGGUUCAAGCAAUUCUCCUGCCUCAGCCUCCUGAGUAGCUGGGACUAUGGGUGCGCACCACCACGGCCAGCUAAUUUUUUUGUAUUUUUAGUAGAGAUGGGAUUUCACCAUGCUGGCCAGGAUGGUUUUGAUCUCUUGACCUCGUGAUCCGCCCGCCUCGGCCUCCCAAAGUGCUGGGAUUACAGGUGUGAGCCACGGUGCCCAACCAGCAAAUAAUAUUUUAUGAAGAUUUUAUUUCAAUCAUUUAUGUUUAUGAAUAAUCUGAUGUAAAAUGCUUUUUGGUCUGUGGGUCACAGUCACAAUUUAUGAGAAGCACUAGCAUAAAGGUUCAAUGGUACACAAAUUAUCAGAUUACUUUUAGUAGCUAUUAACAGAGAAUUCACACCCAAAUGGAAAUAAUCACUAGAAAAGAUUAUUAUCCAACAUAACUAGGAUUCCAGUUUGGAAGCUCUUGGUUUUGUACUUUUGGUUGUUCUAAUCUGCCACUCUCAGUGUUAUCUUCUGCCUAAAGCCAGUUCCCCAGUGACACUUAGAAUAACAUGCCAAUUUAUUCAUCUAGGUGGAAUAGAGCCUAGAUUCUCACUGCUUCAACCUAGUUUAGGCCUGUCUACCAGAACCCCUUCAGGAACUAAUCCACUAUAAGGAACUGAAAUGCAAUGUGGCAAACUCAGUGUAUUAUGGAAACACAGAACACCUUGGUUGACAGUCAUGAAUUUAGGUGUGGGGAUGGUCAGGGGAGCCACCUAGGUGAUGACAAAGGUUUAUGUGUAAGUUAAGUAAGUUUUAAAAGGGAGAAGGCUCUCUGUGUGGUAGGGACUGCUUGAACAAAAGGUUGUGGACAGGGGAGCUGUACACAAGGAAACAUCCAAAAUAGGAACUUUUAUGCUUCUGAGCCAUAGCAUUUAGAGGCAAAGGAAGUAGCUGGAGUGAUCAGUAGAUGUCUGAACAAGGAGGGUAGUCAUGAUAAGGAAUCUGGACUCUUUCCGAUAGGAAAUGAACAACUGAAGAUCAUCGCCAGGGAAUUAAGAUGAUCAGAUUCCCAUCACUACAGCCAAAGUGUAGAGGAAGGAGGUUAGGAGGUUGUUGCAGUAAUCCAGGAUAGAGGGAUCAUGGAUUUCAUAUUAGGGAGCAAGUUGACUGCAGAUUUGAGAAACACCAUGGAAAUAAAUGUGUUAACUUCAGUGUAGAUGAGUGUAAGGAAAUAAUCACCGACUUUUCUAGUCAUCUCUCCGGGACAUCAGGUUUAUAGUGUAUUAAUUGUAAAGCCUGAAUUUGUUACCUUUUGAGAAAGGAGUGAUCAUUACUUUGUCAACCUUACCAUAAAGAACUGGAGCCCAAGAUGGGGAGAACCUUUGAGAGUGCUGCUCUAGAGUUUGAACACAAAGAGGUUCCUAGAUAGACUUGGGGAGCAUUCCACUAGGUGAAGAAAAGUUAUUUAUUUAUAGGCCAGAUUAAUAAAAUUCUUGAUGCUGUUAUUUUCCUUGUGUUAUCCCUGAGCCUUUAGCAAAUGUCUUACGAUUCAUGUACUUUUAUUUGGACCAAAACCCAAAACAUUAAAGGGAAAGCAGUAUCCCUUGAGGCCACUGUGGUAGUAGCAGUGGCCUGUUAUUGUGAGCUCAUUGAUGAUACAGAUUGUUUCUUGUCUCUAGUCUCUGUAUGACAAACAGUAGAUAUUGUAUCCCUGCUGCCUAAAUUGAUGCUGGGAACUAGCAGAUGCUCAAAAAGCAUGUAGGGAACUGUUGAAAGUCCCAAAGGGAGAUACAUUUCUGGGGUCUAAGAGGAAAAGCUACAGGAGCCCAGCCACAAUCCAUCUAUCCAAAAUAAAGAUGUGGUUUUAAGGAAAGUGAUUUCUCUAGAAGUCAGGUAUGACUCCUAGAUAUCAAGCUUGGGUGUAUGUUCAUGCUAAGACAGGAGGAGGGGUAUAUUUUUUAGCAGAAGGAGAGUUGUAGCUUUUUUUUUUUUUUUUGCUAUAAAAAUGUUUUAUUAGGCCAAACUACUUACUAUGAAAAUGCUUUAAAAUGCAGCAGGAGGAGAUGUAAAGACUCAAAGAAGUGUGUAGUGACAAUGGCGAUCAGAACACACUGAAGAAUCCACACUGCUUCCCCCUUUACCUAGAAAAGGAAGCUUCUAUGCUACCUUCUCCUCUUCAGCACACUCCUCAAACUCCUCCUCCUCAGCUGUGGCAUCUUGGAAUUGCUGGUAUUCUGACACCAGGUGAUUAAGGUUGCCCUCGGCCUCGGUGUACUCCAUCUCAUCCAUGCCCUUGCCCGUGUACCAGUGCAGGAAGGCCUUGCGCCUGAACAUAGCUAUAAACUGUUCAGAGUUGUAGCUUUAUUUCAUAAAUGUUUUGAGUGUCUACUAUAUAUCAUUCAAAAUAUAAGAGCUUUCUGGUAAUGGUGUGAAGAACAAACUAGAGUAGAGAAAAAGAGAUAAAGAGCUCUGUUGGGAGUGGACGAGUAUAAGACUAAGGCAGCUGCAGCUAAAUAACCCAGAACAGUUCUGUCACCAGUGAACCCUCUACCCUUACUCUUGCUUACUGUCUCAGAUAAUGGAUGGGUUCAGUGGGCCAAAUAUAUUCAGAAGAUAGAGCCUAAGAUAAAAUCUCUUCUACCUACUCUACUGGGGAUAUGGUAGUUAUCAGGCACUGCUAUCAAGUGUUCAGACCAAGAGCAAUGGCUCCUUUCCAAAACUACCACAUUACGAAAGCCUCUGAAGCCAAGGGAACAGUAGUCUGGCUGUGCCAAGAAAGGGACUCCCAGCUUCUCACAUUCUGUAGCCGGAUUUCCCUUUUCUGGGUUCCCAGAGAGGCCAGAUUUGACAACAAUAAAAACUUCCAGGAAAUUCCCAGGAGGUUUAAUUUCCUAAUUCUUCUCUGGCUUAGACUUUCUUACCCCUUCCCCCCACCAAGAGGAAGGAGCUUAUCCUGGAGCCCAACAUCCUCUGCUGAAUGUCUCCACCCCUUUGGCCAAAGUGGUGGAACAUCUGAGUCUUGGGUCCUCUCCUCCCAGGUCCAUUCAGGGGAUUGAGGGGAACACAUGAAAGUAAUGUGUGAUCCUGCCUCAAAACAGAGGAAUGACUGCAGUAUCCCUAGAAGGUUCAUAGGGUACUAGAUUGUUUAAGGAAGUUUUACUUGCACAUUGUCACUCCCCUACCCCUGUCAGGAAGUAAUCUUUCUCUAAGAAAUCCCAAGCAUGCAGUCUCUAGGAUGUCAAAACCACCACUUCUGGCAACAUUUGGAAUUAUAGGAUGCAUUCCCAUCUAAACUGGCAUUAAGAAAAACAAAACUGCACUAACCAAAAAUAACCCAUUAAGGACCAGAAGCAUAAGCCAUGGAUUUACUAUCCCAGGUAGACUAAGCAUUUGGAUAAUUCUCAUUCUCCAGAUACCCCACUGGAAGGAAAAAAGAAAUGAAUUUAUAUAUAUUCA